rnacentral:rRNA from 1 species
AUUGAACGCUGGCGGCAGGCCUAACACAUGCAAGUCGAGCGGAUGAAGGGAGCUUGCUCCUGGAUUCAGCGGCGGACGGGUGAGUAAUGCCUAGGAAUCUGCCUGGUAGUGGGGGAUAACGUCCGGAAACGGGCGCUAAUACCGCAUACGUCCUGAGGGAGAAAGUGGGGGAUCUUCGGACCUCACGCUAUCAGAUGAGCCUAGGUCGGAUUAGCUAGUUGGUGGGGUAAAGGCCUACCAAGGCGACGAUCCGUAACUGGUCUGAGAGGAUGAUCAGUCACACUGGAACUGAGACGCGGUCCAGACUCCUACGGGAGGCAGCAGUGGGGAAUAUUGGACGAUGGGCGAAAGCCUGAUCCAGCCAUGCCGCGUGUGUGAAGAAGGUCUUCGGAUUGUAAAGCACUUUAAGUUGGGAGGAAGGGCAGUAAGUUAAUACCUUGCUGUUUUGACGUUACCAACAGAAUAAGCACCGGCUAACUUCGUG